ACAGAGGGUGCAAGCGUUAAUCGGAAUUACUGGGCGUAAAGGGCGCGUAGGCGGUUAGGUAAGUCGGAUGUGAAAUCCCCGGGCUCAACCUGGGAAUUGCAUUCGAUACUGCUUAGCUAGAGUGUGGAAGAGGGAAGCGGAAUUUCCGGUGUAGCGGUGAAAUGCGUAGAUAUCGGAAGGAACACCAGUGGCGAAGGCGGCUUCCUGGUCCAACACUGACGCUGAGGCGCGAAAGCGUGGGGAGCGAACAGGAUUAGAUACCCUGGUAGUCCACGCUGUAAACGAUGAGAACUAGAUGUUGGGAGGUAUAACCUCUCAGUGUCGCAGCUAACGCAUUAAGUUCUCCGCCUGGGGAGUACGGCCGCAAGGUUG
rnacentral:rRNA from 1 species